GUGAGAGAGAGAGAGAGAGAGAGCAGUUCUUUUCAGACUGAUUAUAAACAGAAAAGAGAGGGAGAGGGAGGAAGACAGAUUAAACAGACUGAACACAACUGUUGUUUUAAUCCUCUGAGCGGAUAGAUUUAGAGGAGAAAAAAAAAAAACUACUGGUUCGAUGAAGAGCAGCCAUAUUGCAUGGACCAUUCUGAGAAAAACAGGUCUCAUUCGAGGAGGAAUACGCGGAUCUCAGAGUUUAAGAGAACGCAUCCAGACUUCACGACUGCGGGAUCCGCUGCCCAGCCGGGCUUGACGAUAAUUUUACAGAGGAAUUCAUAAUUCAACUAGAGUUUUCUUUUUUCUUUUUUUUUUUCUUUCUAUUCAUUAUUUAUUUAUUUAUUUUAUUGUUGGAUAGUGCCAACGAACAUAUUUAAAGAUGAAGGACCGAUUGGAACAACUAAAGGCGACAUGUGAUCAUGAUGAUGAUGAUGUCGAAAUCGCUGUGGACAACCCUGCUUUCAUGGAUGAAUUCUUCGCCCAGAUUGAAGACAUCAGGAACAGUAUUGAUAAGAUUGAUGAGAAUGUGGCCGAAGUGAAGAAACUUUACUCAGUUAUUCUGUCUGCACCAACAUCAGACCAAAAAACACAGGAUGAUUUGGAGGCACUAACUAACGAAAUCAAGAAAAUGGCCAACAAUGCUCGUAACAAACUGAAGACCAUUGAAAGAAAUCUUGAGACUGAAGAAAUGGAAAGAGUAUCGGCUGACAUGAGAAUACGCAAAUCACAACAUGCUAUUCUUUCCAGGAAGUUUGUUGAUGUGAUGACUAAAUACAGUGAAGCUCAGGUGGACUUCAGAGAGAAGAGCAAAGGUCGCAUUCAGAGACAAUUAGAGAUCACUGGUAAAGCCACAACUGAUGAAGAGCUGGAGGAGAUGCUGGAGGGGGGGAACGCUGCCGUUUUCACAGCAGGGAUUGUGGAUUCAGGGAUCUCUAAACAAGCAUUGAGUGAGAUUGAAGCUCGUCACAAAGACAUUGUGCGUCUGGAGAGCAGCAUAAAGGAACUGCAUGAUAUGUUUCAGGACAUCGCCAUGCUGGUGGAGAGCCAGGGGAACAUGGUUGAUAACAUUGAGAUGAAUGUGGGCAAAGCAGUUGAUCACAUUGAAGUAGCAAAGGCUGAAACCAAGAAAGCAGCCAGGUACCAGAGCAAAGCCCGGAAGGGUGGUAUGAUUGAAAGGAUUGAGAACAACAUGGACCAAUCUGUGGGUUUUGUGGAGCGGGCGGUAGCUGACACUAAAAAGGCAGCUAAAUAUCAGCAAGAAGCUCGGCGUGUGAGUUCAUGAUUGAUAUCAGGCCCUGCCCAUUUGCCCAAACCCCUUCCUACAGCCUCUCCUUUUACUGUCCAAACCUGAUGACGUUACACAGUCACAUGCAUACACAAACAAACCUAGUCAUUGUUUCUAAUCCUAAUACGCCCUUAAAGGGAUAGUUCACCCAAAAAUGAAAAUUCCCUCAUUUACUUUCAUGCCAUCCCAGAUGUGGAUGACUUUGUCAUCUGUUCUGCUGAACACAAAUGAAGAUUUUCAGAAGUGUAUCUCAUCUCUGUAGGUCCUUUCAAUGUAACUUUGAAGUUCCAAAAAUCACAUAAAGGCAGCAUAAAAGUAAUCGAUAUGACUCCAGUAGUUUAAUAUGUCUACUGAUGCAAUGCUAUUGCUUCGGGUGAGAAACAGAACAGUAUUUUAAUCCUUUUUUACUAAACAAUCUCCACUUUCAGAAUGUGAUAGAAUAUAUAAAAUAUAUAUAUAUAUUGAUCUAUUUUUCACCCACACGUAUCAUAUCACUUCUAAAAACAUGGAUUAAACCACUGAAGUCACAUGGAUUACUUUUAUGCUGCUUUUUGGAGCUUGGACCUAGAGAGCCAAAAUGUACUUCUAAAAUCUUUUUGUGUUGUUGCACAAGAAAGUCAUACAUAUCUGUAAUGGUAUGAGGGUGAGUAAAUGAGAAUCUUCAUUUUUGGGUGAACUAGCCCUUUAAUUUUAGAAUUUUGGGCAGCCAGCCUCCAUAAUAACAGUCGGACAAGAUAUUUAUGUUUGGCCCUUUGCCUCUAACAGUACAUAUAGUAGAGAAAGGACAGGAAAAGGUGGGUUGAAGUGUGGUAAUGCAAGUUGGAUUUGAACCACCAUUGCCACAUGAGCACCGCAACUGUGCCAGAGCAUGAGCUCUAACCAUUUGGCCAGAGCCAAUGCCAGUCCAUUGUAAACUAUUCAGUGCAUGUUAUUCCCAAAUUGAAAUUUAGAUACAUAAAAUUACUUUAAUGAAUGUAAUAAUGUGUCAGAGUGAGACAGAGACCCAAGAGCAGAGGAACGGUUCAAAGGACUUAUUAACAUUAAGUGAUAAAUCUAACUGUGCGGUGAAGACUGGAGAUCCCGGCACUGGCUGCAGUUGAGGGAAGGAGUUGGGGAUGAGUGUGCACCAUAGCCGCACAAUGGGCAGAUCAGUGAAGAGUGUCCGUAGACAAGUGCAUUGUGGAAGUCAGGAGGUCAGAUUCUUAGGAAUCCACCGUAGAGGCGUAGUGAGGUGCAGAGAACAACACCCAGCAGAUUGGCAGGCAAUCACUUUCCUGACACACGGGCAGAGACGAGGAACCCUCCGUUGAAGAUUCGGGAGCGCAGAGAACAAACAUACAGCAAGCUGGAAGAAGAUGAUUAUACUGGGUGUGAUUGGUGUCAUUGUACUCGUCAUCAUCAUCAUUAUCAUCAUCACACAGGUUGUGUAAGAUAAUAACCUCUCCAUCAGCACUCCAUCUCCUCUGUGGCUACGCACAAACACUCCAUUAUUACGAUUUAUCAUCUUCCCCUGUCUUUGGCAUCCUCGCUCUUUUUCCUUGGAGUUAAGAAGACAACAAAUGCUCCACCCCCUCCAUCUGUGGCUCUUCCCCACAUUAGCAUAAACCAAUGGGAAACCACUCUGUUGGAACCUUAGUGAUGGUCAAGGAAACAUACAGAUUUUUUGUAAGGAUGUAACAGGAUUGUUUAAGGAACUUGUACUACAUGCCACGAAGGGCAUUUUAAUGAAACUUUAAACGGACAGAUUAAUGAGUACAGAAUAAGGGAUUUUCUGUUUUACAAAUGAAGACUUAAAAAGGGAAAGAUAACCUGCAUUUCAUGCCUUAACAUUUUUAUUACACUGUAUGUUCUUAAGACACAUGGAAACAUCUACAGGAUGAGCUACUGAACUGUUUUUGAUCAAAAGAGAUUAGAGACACUGAUGAUUUCAUCUUUUAUUCUGGGACCCUGUGAAAUGAACUGAAUGGAGUAAGUGAAGCAUGGAUGGGUCAUUCAGAAUGGAAGCCCACAUCUGAGACUGAUUUCAGAGUAAUGAUGGAUUUAUGUUUUUUUUUUUUUUUUUUUUUUUUUUAUGUGAUAAACCAGUGUAUGUAAAAAAAAAAAAAAACUGAUUUAAGCAAAUUAAUAAAUUAAAUUUUAUAUUUUGUAAGUAUGUUGUAAAUGUAAGAGAAAUGGAUGGAUGGAUGGAUGGAUGGAUGGUCAUUAUUAGCCAUGGUGCCAUUUGUGCUAGAACAUUUCAGAAUUUUGUUGUCAAGAUUGGUUGUCGAUUAAUAUGGGAUUUUCAAUGGCCAUUUUUUAAACCAGUGCCCCUAAUCCUAAAUAUGUGGUUACAGCCUUGCAAAGUACCAACAGUACUUUGUAGUUACUAACCCUAAAGCACUACAUUAUUUCAACCCCAUAACAGUAUGCUUAUACAUUGAAUUUGCCAACUGACAACAUUUUGGUAGUAUCACUCAGUUUCGGCAUGCCAUGCCAUAAAUCACAUACUGUAAUUAAAAAAAUAUGCAAUAACGACCCAUGACAUGUCUUUUGCAAAACAUGCUUUGUGCAAAGAACAAUAUUUUGUUCUGUAAAAAAAUUGACCGCUAUGAUUUUUUGCAUAACAAAAAGCAUAUUGAGCUUGUGUAAAUAAUCAUAAUCAAAGACUGUAAGAGAAACUUAACUAUAUUUGAACUAUGUGGUCAAACAAAUCAUGCUGUCACUCCUUUAAAUAUGAUGUCAGAAAUAUCAAACCAUUAUUCUUAAAGGGAAAUGUCACAGCAUGACUGGGUUGAACAGUGAGAGACAAAGACAAAUUGAUCUAUAUACAUAGAUUGUGAAAGCAUGAUAUUUAAAUCGCAAUAAAAGAAAAAUUAGCUUAGAAUUGUAUUUUUUAUUCUAUAUAACUCAUUGAAAUGUAAUGGUGAUGACAGUGGAAAUGCAUAUUACAAGAUAGUUUGUAGAAAAAAACAUUUGAAAAGAGUUACUUUGCUUUAGACACUAAACAGAGUUGCCUGCAAAUGAUUUUAAGGAUACUGUAACAAUAUAGUAAUUUUGAAUGGAUACUGAACUGUUGAUUAUCAUCUUAAAUAUAUCAGUAGUAUGUCAUGGAGACACACUGUAAGGGGGUUUAGAGGAAAGGAUGAGGCGAGAACCGGCUUGACAACUUAAAUAAUAAUUUAUUAACCAAAAACCCAACCAAAAACACACAACUAAAAACACAGCACAGCUGUCUGUAAUUCUCUCUCUCUCGAACUGUCGUCCCCGGCCGCCUUUAUCCCUCGCGCGCCCCAUCAGGCUGAUUGGGGACCGGGUGUGUCUCAUUCCAGCCCGGCCCCGCCCUCCUCAGCUCUACACACACAUAAAACAAAUGGCACUGUUUUGUUUUUUAAAAAUUAAUCAUGGAUGGAUAUGUUGGAACUAUGAACGGCAGAAUCAUCUUUCAUGGAUGACAUAACAUUAUUUAUACUGUACACACAGCGACUGUUUUAAUG